rnacentral:lncRNA from 1 species
CAAGCUAGUAGUCCACUGAUGUCAGGACUGGCACUGGGAUGAGUUCUCUCCACCAUUUUUGGGGUGGCUGUCAGCAGUCUGUCAUGCACAGGAUCUUCUUGUUCGCUGCCUCACUCUAUAUGCCAUGCCACAAGCUAGCAUCAGCACUGGUUUGCAGUCUGUCUGUGCUUCCUCCAAUGUCCAUACCCUGUGAACGGGUUCCAUAGAAGUCUUUUAAAAAUUCCCACCAGAGAAGAGACUUCAUCCUCCAUCACCUCACAAUAUGGCUGGUUAUAUCUGGACAGUGUAAGUGUAAAUGUUACCAUUUGUACGUAGUAUCUUGGGCAGCUUGAGCUAGUCUUUGUUGCAGCAAGAAUCUGGUUUGCCAACCUUGGCUUGCUAAUCUGAUAUGCUAGGCUUGCACCACUGAUAUACGUUAGUGUCUCCCAUCGGCCUUUGGAAUUUGCAUGACUUCUAUUACAAAAACAGCCCCGCUCAAUGUUAGUGGUGAGAGCAAGAAAGAAGGAAACAGUAGGGGAGCUCAAAAGGCUGUGGCUGGAUACUUUCUACAGCUGAAGAGACAGUCGUCAUUUGGCUCUCUUAGGUGAACUUGAAGUAGCUCUGACAGCAGGAGGGCCCUGCAGUCCCACCAGAAGAUCUGCAGCUGUGGUGGAAGGAUUGCCCUUAGGAAAUGCCACCACUUGGGAUUUGCUUUUGCACUGGGGUGGUGGGCAUUCACUGGGACUGGGUGUAUGUUCCCUAUUGCUUGAGAAGGAAUUUGAAACAUUUAUGCAGUAAGAAAUAAGCAACAGUAGACUCCAUUUUUCCAUCUCCGUUCAGGCGUCUGGGUAAAUGAGUUACUUUCACAUACAUAUUUCAUGGUAUUUGCGACAGCUACUUGUCAAUUGGCAGAAGAGCUUUUAGAUGAGUAAAGCCAGCAGAACAAGAGAUGCCUGCUUAACCUGUUCAGUGUUUUCUUAAUGAUAACAGAGAAGCCUUGGCAUAUUAAUGUUUCCUCGAAGACUAUCCAAAUAUCCACUGAUUUAAAAGAUCAAAGAAGCAGCAGUGCUUUCAGUUACAC